rnacentral:rRNA from 1 species
UACGAAGGGGGCUAGCGUUGCUCGGAAUCACUGGGCGUAAAGCGCACGUAGGCGGAUUGCUAAGUCAGGGGUGAAAUCCUGGAGCUCAACUCCAGAACUGCCCUUGAUACUGGCGGUCUCGAGUCCGGAAGAGGAGAGUGGAAUUCCUGGUGUAGCGGUGAAAUGCGCAGAUAUCAGGAGGAACACCCGUGGCGAAAGCGGCUCUCUGGGGACGGUACUGACGCUGAGACGCGAAAGCGUGGGGAGCAAAACAGG